rnacentral:rRNA from 1 species
CCUACGGGGGGCAGCAGUGAGGAAUAUUGGUCAAUGGGCGUAAGCCUGAACCAGCCAAGUCGCGUGAGGGAUGAAGGUUCUAUGGAUCGUAAACCUCUUUUAUCAGGGAAUAAAGUGCGGGACGUGUCCCGUUUUGUAUGUCCCUUAUGAAUAAGGAUCGGCUAACUCCGUGCCAACAGCCGCGGUAAUACGGAGGAUGCGAGCGUUAUCCGGAUUUAUUGGGUUUAAAGGGUGCGAAGGCGGAAUGUUAAGUCAGCGGUAAAAUUUCGGGGCUCAACCCCGUCGUGCCGUUGAAACUGGCGGUCUUGAGUGGGCGAGAAGUAUGCGGAAUGCGUGGUGUAGCGGUGAAAUGCAUAGAUAUCACGCAGAACCCCGAUUGCGAAGGCAGCAUACCGGCGCUAAACUGACGCUGAGGCACGAAAGCGUGGGUAUCGAACAGGAUUAGAUACCCCUGUAGUC